AGUAGUCAUACGCUCGUCUCAAAGAUUAAGCCAUGCAUGUGUAAGUCUAAAUAGUUUUAGUGUGAAACUGCGAAUGGCUCAUUAUAUCAGUUAUAGUUUAUUUGGAAUAGUUUCUAUAUGGAUAACCGUAGUAAUUCUAGGGCUAAUACAUGUGUUUUCUUUGAUGGGCAACCAUUAAAGAAGUACUUAUUAGACAUAAAACCAAUUUAAUGUUGUUGUGAGUAAUAAUAAUUGUUGACUUUAUCGCAUGCUUGUUAGUAGCGAUGUUCCUUUCAAGUUUCUGCCCUAUCAGCUUUCGAUGGUAGUGUAUUGGACUACCAUGGCAGUAACGGGUAACGA
rnacentral:rRNA from 1 species